UACGGAGGGAGCUAGCGUUGUUCGGAAUUACUGGGCGUAAAGCGCACGUAGGCGGCUAUUCAAGUCAGAGGUGAAAGCCCGGGGCUCAACCCCGGAACUGCCUUUGAAACUAGAUAGCUAGAAUCUUGGAGAGGUCAGUGGAAUUCCGAGUGUAGAGGUGAAAUUCGUAGAUAUUCGGAAGAACACCAGUGGCGAAGGCGACUGACUGGACAAGUAUUGACGCUGAGGUGCGAAAGCGUGGGGAGCAAACGGG
rnacentral:rRNA from 1 species